AAAUUGAAGAGUUUGAUCAUGGCUCAGAUUGAACGCUGGCGGCAGGCCUAACACAUGCAAGUCGAACGGUAACAGGAAGCAGCUUGCUGCUUCGCUGACGAGUGGCGGACGGGUGAGUAAUGUCUGGGAAGCUGCCUGAUGGAGGGGGAUAACUACUGGAAACGGUAGCUAAUACCGCAUAAUGUCGCAAGACCAAAGAGGGGGACCUUCGGGCCUCUUGCCAUCGGAUGUGCCCAGAUGGGAUUAGCUUGUUGGUGGGGUAACGGCUCACCAAGGCGACGAUCCCUAGCUGGUCUGAGAGGAUGACCAGCCACACUGGAACUGAG
rnacentral:rRNA from 1 species